CAGCACUGGUUAUCAAAAAACAUAAACAUCGGAAAAUUUCGCAAACUUUAUUGAAAAAACAAUUAAAAUAGGUUAGCUCCAGCAUUAAGAACCUAGUAAAAUGAUAAACAAUCAUGGCGGAUAGUGUAGCAGAACACCAUUCUUACGCUGCAAGCCGAAGUACCACUCAUCGGAAGUCAAAGUACGGACUGGCUAGGUCUUCCUCGUGGGAGAAAAGCUGGAUGGAACCCAAAUGACAGACCACGCGGAACUACGUGCGCCCUAUGGUGCUGCGCGGUAGCCAGCUCUGGAACAUAUGAUCCAUGCUGCUUUCCCACCCGCGCAAGAUUUCACAGAUUUUGGAAGGAUAUGGCGGAUUCUGUAGCAGAUUUUGGAAGCGAUGCAUACACACACUGACUGCCAAAACAAAUACUGACUAGCAUUACGUCCCCAAUGCGCAGUUUGAAGAGUCCGAGCGGCAAAAAUUAAGUUUGGAGGUC